CAGCAGCCGCGGGAAUACGUAGGGUGCGAGCGUUAAUCGGAAUUACUGGGCGUAAAGCGUGCGCAGGCGGUUUUGUAAGACAGAGGUGAAAUCCCCGGGCUCAACCUGGGAACUGCCUUUGUGACUGCAAGGCUAGAGUACGGCAGAGGGGGAUGGAAUUCCGCGUGUAGCAGUGAAAUGCGUAGAUAUGCGGAGGAACACCGAUGGCGAAGGCAAUCCCCUGGGCCUGUACUGACGCUCAUGCACAAAGCGUGGGGAGCAAACAGGAUUAGAUACCCCAGUAGUCCCUGUCUCUUAUACA
rnacentral:rRNA from 1 species